UUACGGUCAUAUCAUGCUGAAACACCGGUUCGCGUACGAUCACCGAAGUUAAGCAAGCUCGUGGUGAGCAUCUAGAUGGGUGACCGCUUGGAAAUGCCAAGCGUU